rnacentral:lncRNA from 10 species
GCGGCCGCGGCGGCCAGACAGUCAAGAGCCUGCGGAUCCAGGAGCAGGUGCAGCAGACCCUCGCCCGGAAGGGCCGCAGCUCCGUGGGCAACGGUCCAGUGCUAAACUGAAACCAAAUCAGCUUCCCCUGCGUAGGAGACACAGGAGGCAUAUUAGAUAUUCUUUCUUAUCCUCUGAGAAUGGCCAGCUAGGAAGAGAGCAAGCAGAUACAACUCUUCCAUAAAUGGAGGGAAUGGAGCCAUGAACAGAAGAAAAGGGAAUGUUGCUGAGCAUCUACUAUGUGCCUAUUCCAGAAUCUUCAUUAUAUUCUUGAAACAAUUGCUGAGAUAGAUAUGAGAAUCCAUCUCACAUAUGAAGUAUGUGUCUGUCAGCAAUGGUUGGAAAUUUAAUCCCAACUCCACACAUAAUCUGUUCUUUCUACAAAGUAAUGCAUCACCUGUGUGAUGAAUUCAGCAAGCAUCAAAUGAGUAUGUUCUUCAUGCCGGGCGCUGUGCAGGUGCUGAAUUAAACACAAAGACUCUGCUUGCUUUAAAGCAAAAAGUUUGAAGAAGGAAGCCAACCGCUAGAAAAAUACAUUACCAAAUAAAAAGUAGUAAGUGACCCAAAAGAAUGGCUAAUAUAUUAUGGAGUUUAGAAGUGUAAAUUGGCUGGGCGCAGUGACUCAUGCCUGUAAUUGCAGCACUUUGGGAGGCCGAGGCGGGAGGAUCACCUGAGGUCGGGAGUUUGAGACCAGCCUGACCAACAUGGUAAAAUCCCAUCUCUACUAAAAAUACAAAAUUAGCCGGGCGUGGUGGCACAUGCCGGUAAUCCCAGCUACUCAGCUACUCGGAAGGCUGAGGCAGGAGAAUCGCUUGAACCCGGGAGGUAGAAGUUGCAGUGAGCGGAGAUCUCGCCAUUGCACUCCAGCCUGAGCAACAAGAGCGAAACGCCAUCUCAAAAAAAAAAAAAAAAAAAAAAAAAGUAAGUUACUCCUGGUGGCAGGAAAUUUUGAAAAGCUUCCUGGAGGUAGAUCUCAAAAAUUCAGUAGGACUGGACAUAGGGAGGUGACUGGAGAAAGAUCAUUCUAGGAGGGAACAGAAUGAAUAUUUCACAGUUCACAGAGUUGAUAUGGUAGAACAAAGGGCACUAUCUUGGUCCUUCUGCUAUAAUGCUUGGGUCAACUACUUGACUGGCUGUUCCAACUAAGGAACAAAGCGUUUGAAAUAUUUUGAUUGCAACAGCAGCUUUCCAGUAAGCUGAAAUACACUCUGCAGCCUACACAGAAGUACAAAUCAGACAGAGAGAUAAGGCAGCAAACAACACCUACUUACUUUAAAGCCUCAGCUUUCUAAGACUCAAAAAGGAAAUCAGCUUCAAAGGAAUUUAACAUUAGCAUGCCAUGAAACAAUUACCAGGGGUGGUUCGUAUGUAUUGUUUAAUUAAACUUCUUUGAAAAGGUCUGGGGGCUCGUGGUGGUUCUGAGUAUAAUUUUUAUUAUUUCCAUGUUACUAUCCUGUCUCUCAAGUUGAAACAGACAAGCAAUUGUUGAAACAGUGCUGGUCUGGAAAAAAUCCUGUAUCAACA